rnacentral:rRNA from 1 species
GACGAACGCUGGCGGCGUGCCUAAUACAUGCAAGUAGAACGCUGAAGAGAGGAGCUUGCUCUUCUUGGAUGAGUUGCGAACGGGUGAGUAACGCGUAGGUAACCUGCCUUGUAGCGGGGGAUAACUAUUGGAAACGAUAGCUAAUACCGCAUAACAAUGGAUGACACAUGUCAUUUAUUUGAAAGGGGCAAUUGCUCCACUACAAGAUGGACCUGCGUUGUAUUAGCUAGUAGGUGAGGUAAUGGCUCACCUAGGCGACGAUACAUAGCCGACCUGAGAGGGUGAUCGGCCACACUGGGACUGAGACACGGCCCAGACUCCUACGGGAGGCAGCAGUAGGGAAUCUUCGGCAAUGGGGGCAACCCUGACCGAGCAACGCCGCGUGAGUGAAGAAGGGUGUCGGAUCGUAAAGCUCUGUUGUAAGUCGAGAACGGGUGUGAGAGUGGAAAGUUCACACUGUGACGGUAGCUUACCAGAAAGGGACGGCUAACUACGUG